GAUGAACGCUAGCGGCAGGCUUAAUACAUAGCAAGUCGAACGGGAAUUGGGUAGCAAUACCUGAUGAUAGUGGCGCACGGGUGCGUAACGCGUAUGCAACCUACCUUUAACAGGGGGAGUAGCCCGGAGAAAUUCGGAUUAAUACCCCAUAGUAUUAUGGAGAGGCAUCUUUUCAUGAUUAAAGUUCCGGCGGUUAAAGAUGGGCAUGCGUGCCAUUAGCUAGUUGGUGAGGUAACGGCUCACCAAGGCGACGAUGGUUAGGGGUCCUGAGAGGGUUAUCCCCCCACACUGGUACUGAGACACGGACCAGACUCCUACGGGAGGCAGCAGUAAGGAAUAUUGGUCAAUGGGCGGAAGCCUGAACCAGCCAUGCCGCGUGCAGGAAGACGGCCUUAUGGGUUGUAAACUGCUUUUGUCAGGGAAUAAACCCUCGUUUGCGAACGAGGCUGAAGGUACCUGAAGAAUAAGCAUCGGCUAACUCCGUG
rnacentral:rRNA from 1 species